UAAGAUGGCUUCUGUCAGGCGUAGUGAAUUGGGACUCUGCUAUUGUCUUGUGGUGGUGUUAGUUUUGAAAGUAUUUCUAGUUGAAAAUGACCUGUCUGCGUUCAGAUGUGGAUGGAGCAUUGGCUUAUUCAAAUGUUUCCUAUACGCCAAUUUAUAGUUCCAACUUUGGGAUUGGUCGGCUUGGCUCAGCGGUUAGCUCAUUUGCUGUGGGGUCUGAGGUCGCGGAUUCGAAUCAGCCUCUCUACAUACAAAAAAAUAAUGGCUAUGCACUUCCAAAGUUUGUCCAACUCACAGUAAUUUCAUAUUAUGCAUCUUCAAGUGCUUCACAUUAAUUUCCCUUCUCAUCUGCCAUAUCGAAGAAGCCCACAUGGCUCAUACUCAGAAAGGACAACAAAAAUGAAGUCAUACAGAGCAAUCAAGCUUGUCGGUGGCUAUAACCAGGUGAUAGUUUUGGUCCUGAGCUACAGAAAAAUAGGAUGCAAGGAGAUAUACAAAAAUGGGAACAGAAGGAAAACAGGUUGGUGUGAUUUUUCUGUAGUUCACUUAACUCUCUUCACCAACCGUCAAUUUAGUGCUGUGGGAUAUGUUGUUUUGCCUGGUUAUAGAAAGCUCUCAUGUUGUGAGAAUCAGAAUGGAGUUUAAGGGAGUUGAGAUGUGUACUGUUUGAACUAUCGUCCUCAUUUUUGUGACUUUCCUCGGAGGGGGUGUGGGCCGGUGUUCCUUAAAUUCCACAAGUCCUUUGCACAUCUAAUUAAGAGAGAGGAAGUGGUCCUAAGUUUUUUUUUUUUUGAAUAUAAUGUUGUGUUGCUCUUCACACGUCUUUAUUGUGUGCCUCUUUUAUCAUGUUGUUCAUCACAUGCCUUCUCCAUUGCAUUAACUCGUGGGGUCCUUUCUAGCUGCUACUGAUGUUAACCCUUUGACAGCAUUCACAGAGUAUCCUUAAAUUUUCAUAAAGUGGUAAAAAAAAUGGAAAAGCAUGUUGUUUUCUCUGGUUUAUCCCCUUGCAGUCGGUUGCGGAGAACAGUAUCCGGAGGACAGGCUGAGUAAGCUCGUACUGGUCUGGUCCUCUCCCAUAAAACAGAUAGCAACCACAACUAAUAUUUCAAGGAGUGUCCAAUGCAUCGUUUUCGAGGAUAUGCCUAUUGUUUCUUUUCCCGAGGGAGACUUGUUGGGGUCGGAUUAGCUGUCUUUUUUAACCGGAGUAACAGGUAUAAUGGCUUCUGUCUCGAGACGGGUACUCAUUGGCAUUGGAGAGAUGAGCAGAUUUACGAGAGACGGGAAUGUCCGGUUUCCCGGAGCACGAAAAGGGCUCAACACGUAUCUUAGCUUUAAGAUUCGCCAUCUACUCCGAAAACGCAAGUUGAUGGAACGUUUCAGACAAGAUGAGAGAGCUCUUUCACAACACUUGAUAGAUAGAUAGAUAGAUGGGCAUGGACCACUAUGAACACUCUCUAGCCUCUGUCUUGUUCGUUGUCUCCCCCCCCCC